rnacentral:rRNA from 1 species
AGUGAACGCUGGCGGUAGGCCUAACACAUGCAAGUCGAACGGCAGCACAGUAAGAGCUUGCUCUUACGGGUGGCGAGUGGCGGACGGGUGAGGAAUACAUCGGAAUCUACUUUUUCGUGGGGGAUAACGUAGGGAAACUUACGCUAAUACCGCAUACGACCUACGGGUGAAAGCAGGGGAUCUUCGGACCUUGCGCGAUUGAAUGAGCCGAUGUCGGAUUAGCUAGUUGGCGGGGUAAAGGCCCACCAAGGCGACGAUCCGUAGCUGGUCUGAGAGGAUGAUCAGCCACACGGGAACUGAGACACGGUCCAGACUCCUACGGGAGGCAGCAGUGGGGAAUAUUGGACAAUGGGCGCAAGCCGGAUCCAGCCAUACCGCGUGGGUGAAGAAGGCCUUCGGGUUGGAAAGCCCUUUUGUUGGGAAAGAAAAGCAGCAGGUUAAUACCCCGCUGUUCUGACGGUACCCAAAGAAUAAGCACCGGCUAACUUCGUG